rnacentral:rRNA from 1 species
UACGAAGGGGGCUAGCGUUGCUCGGAAUCACUGGGCGUAAAGGGUGCGUAGGCGGGUCUUUAAGUCAGGGGGGAAAUCCUGGAGCUCAACUCCAGAACUGCCUUUGAUACUGGGGAUCUUGAGUCCGGGAGAGGUGAGUGGAACUGCGAGUGUAGAGGUGAAAUUCGUAGAUAUUCGCAAGAACACCAGUGGCGAAGGCGGCUCACUGGCCCGGAACUGACGCUGAGACGCGAAAGCGUGGGGAGCAAACAGG